rnacentral:rRNA from 1 species
AGAGGGAAAAGAAUAUUUUUUUAGUUUUUUUAUCUGCUCAGAUUGAACGCUGGCGGCAGGCCUAACACAUGCAAGUCGAGCGGAUGAAGGGAGCUUGCUCCUGGAUUCAGCGGCGGACGGGUGAGUAAUGCCUAGGAAUCUGCCUGGUAGUGGGGGAUAACGUCCGGAAACGGGCGCUAAUACCGCAUACGUCCUGAGGGAGAAAGUGGGGGAUCUUCGGACCUCACGCUAUCAGAUGAGCCUAGGUCGGAUUAGCUAGUUGGUGGGGUAAAGGCCUACCAAGGCGACGAUCCGUAACUGGUCUGAGAGGAUGAUCAGUCACACUGGAACUGAGACACGGUCCAGACUCCUACGGGAGGCAGCAGUGGGGAAUAUUGGACAAUGGGCGAAAGCCUGAUCCAGCCAUGCCGCGUGUGUGAAGAAGGUCUUCGGAUUGUAAAGCACUUUAAGUUGGGAGGAAGGGCAGUAAGUUAAUACCUUGCUGUUUUGACGUUAUCAACAGAAUAAGCACCGGCUAACUUCGUGCCAGCAGCCGCGGUAAUACGAAGGGUGCAAGCGUUAAUCGGAAUUACUGGGCGUAAAGCGCGCGUAGGUGGUUCAGCAAGUUGGAUGUGAAAUCCCCGGGCUCAACCUGGGAACUGCAUCCAAAACUACUGAGCUAGAGUACGGUAGAGGGUGGUGGAAUUUCCUGUGUAGCGGUGAAAUGCGUAGAUAUAGGAAGGAACACCAGUGGCGAAGGCGACCACCUGGACUGAUACUGACACUGAGGUGCGAAAGCGUGGGGAGCAAACAGGAUUAGAUACCCUGGUAGUCCACGCCGUAAACGAUGUCGACUAGCCGUUGGGAUCCUUGAGAUCUUAGUGGCGCAGCUAACGCGAUAAGUCGACCGCCUGGGAGACCCCGACCUG